GAUGAAGAACGUAGCGAAAUGCGAUACUUGGUGUGAAUUGCAGAAUCCCGUGAACCAUCGAGUCUUUGAACGCAAGUUGCGCCCGAAGCCAUUAGGCCGAGGGCACGCCUGCCUGGGCGUCACACGUCGUUGCCCCCCCAUCUACUCCUUCGGGAUUGCGGGGGGCGGAGGAUGGCCUCCCGUGCGCCUCGUCGCGCGGUUGGCAUAAAUGCCAAGUCCUCGGCGACGCACGCCACGACAAUCGGUGGUUGCGAAACCUCGGUUGCCCGUCGUGGGCGGUCGUCGCGCAUCGAGGGCUCGAAAAAAUUGCCGGGCUCCGGCUCGGCUUUCAACGCGACCCCAGGUCAGGCGGGGUUACCCGCUGAAUUUAAGCAUAUCAAUAAGCGGAGGA
rnacentral:misc_RNA from 1 species